rnacentral:rRNA from 1 species
UGGCUGGCCGCCGAGCCUCUGUAAAGCUCCUUCGACGAGUCGAGUAGUUUGGGAAUGCUGCUCAAAAUGGGAGGUAUAUGUCUUCUAAAGCUAAAUAUUGGCCAGAGACCGAUAGCGCACAAGUAGAGUGAUCGAAAGAUGAAAAGCACCUUGAAAAGAGGGUUAAAUAGUACGUGAAAUUGUUGAAAGGGAAGCGCUUGUGACCAGACUUGGGCGCGGCGGAUCAUCCGGGGUUCUCUCCGGUGCACUUCGCCGCGUCUAGGCCAGCAUCAGUUCGUCGCGGGGGAAAAAGGCUUCGGGAACGUGGCUCCUCCGGGAGUGUUAUAGCCCGUUGCAUAAUACCCUGCGGUGGACUGAGGACCGCGGAUGCUG